GGUCAGAUAGCCAAGUGGUUAAGGCAGCACACACUUAGAGUGUGAGGUCCCUGGUUUGAAUCCGGGUCUGCUCA
rnacentral:tRNA from 1 species